GUUCAGUAGUGAGAACUAGAUGCCUCUAAAAAUUUAGUUUUGAAUCAGCAUGAUUCUCAAUGCGGAUAGCUUGACUUACAGGCAUCUAUGAUCCAAUAGAUACCUAUUUGGCGGUAGUGGAGGUGAAAUGACAACGGCCGUACAAUUACGUUCCGAGUACUUAAGUAUUAUGAUAGCAAUAGGGAAGACUCGAAUAGGAACAGGAGCACUUCUUCGUAAUAAAAUAUGUAGAUUGAGUCAUAUACGGCACAUUUGGCACAUUCGUCCAAUUCUGAUUUCGGUCUUCCUGCCCGAAGUUUACGCAUAUACAGAUUAGAUAAGUCUGUACCUACUUACCAUACUUUAACUUUUACAAUUAUUCAUUUAUAUAUAAUUUUUAAACCUUGUGUUUGAAUUUUUUAA